GGUUCCUGGAGGACUAGUGGUUAGUCCUCGGUGCUCUCACUGCUGUGGCCCAGGUUCGAUUGCUGGCCAAGGAACCA
rnacentral:tRNA from 1 species